CAAAGACUCCCAUGCCUUUCUUGGUUGGACUAAGCCAACUUUUCAUCGCUUCUUGCUUGGUUCAUUUCUUCUUUCUUGGUUGGACUAAGCCAACCGGCCUCUUUCCUACAAGUCUUCUUUCGCAGUCUCAACGACGGUGGAGGGCUAUAGAUAAGACUGUCCCAGUUAGGGAUCCGAGAUAGAUGUCCUUCCCUCCUAGAAGUGCUUCUUGAUUCUCCCCUCCGCUUGCUUUGAGAUCCUGUGUAAGUUGAAGUUUAAAGAAGCGGAACUAUUAGUUUUAUAUAAACUCGAUGAAUAUACAAGAACUUCUUUCGUCUUUCAUUCAAAGCGACCCCUUGCUUCAAUUUCCGCUGCUGUCGGUAUUGGAAUAAUAUUCAUUUUCGCGCUCCACAAAUGGAGUCUUCCUUCACGGGCCCAAGACCAAGUAGCCCGUCUCGUUUCAGAGUAUGCCCAGGAGCUGGAUAUUCAAAAUCUUCCUCUCUUUACUCCGGANCGGAACAGUAUCUAGACGAGAUAGCCACUCAACUAGAGUUCAAAUGGAUUCAUCAUGGUAUCGAAAAACUGCCCGUGGGUCACUCCUGGACUGAACUGGCACAAUCUGUCAUUUCGACUAUAAAUACGGAUUUGACAGAUCUAUCCACUCUCACCUAUGUGCAUGCCCUCUUAUUGGAAGGCGGGUGCGGGUAUAACCCCAUUAUGACAAAAAGUAUCGAAAUAAUAAGCAUGUGGGGCGCUAUUUCGUAAUACUUUCUUUCUCUUUUUUUUCGGUAUGACGCUCCGCGAGCAAGGGGCGAUAGAAGCAAGUGGGCUGUGGUGAUGUCAGAAUUUGCACCUAUUUGUAUCUAUUUAGUGAUCAGUCCGCUAGUUUCUUUGAUCCCACUCGGUCUUCCUUUUCCAUUUGCUUCCAAUAGUUCGACUUAUCCAGAAAAAUUGUCGGCCUACGAAUGUGGUUUCGAUCCUUCCGGUGAUGCCAGAAGUCGUUUCGAUAUACGAUUUUAUCUUGUUUCAAUUUUAUUUAUUAUCUUUGAUCUGGAAGUAACCUUUUUCUUUCCUUGGGCAGUAUCUCUCAACAAGAUUGAUCUGUUUGGAUUUUGGUCCAUGAUGGCCUUUUUAUUGAUUUUGACGAUUGGAUUUCUCUAUGAAUGGAAAAGGGGUGCUUUGGAUUGGGAGUAAUCACUAGUGAUAGGGAAAAAAUCGGGGGGAAGGACAAAGGAAAGAGCGAUGCCUACAUUAAAUCAAUUGAUUCGUCAUGGUAGAGAAGAAAAACGGCGCACGGACCGUACUCGAGCUUUGGAUCAAUGUCCCCAGAAGCAAGGAGUAUGCCUGCGUGUUUCAACGAGAACACCGAAAAAACCUAAUUCAGCUCUACGCG
rnacentral:misc_RNA from 1 species